GAUGAAGAACGUAGCGAAAUGCGAUACGUAAUGUGAAUUGCAAAUUCAGUGAAUCAUCGAGUCUUUGAACGCACAUUGCGCCCCCUGGUAUUCCGGGGGGUAUGCCUGUCCGAGCGUCAUUGCUGCCCUCAAGCACGGCUUGUGUGUUGGGCCCCGUCCUCCGAUCCCGGGGGACGGGCCCGAAAGGCAGCGGCGGCACCGCGUCCGGUCCUCGAGCGUAUGGGGCUUUGUCACCCGCUCUGUAGGCCCGGCCGGCGCUUGCCGAUCAACCCAAAUUUUUAUCCAGGUUGACCUCGGAUCAGGUAGGGAUACCCGCUGAACUUAAGCAUAUCAAUAAGCGGAGGA
rnacentral:misc_RNA from 1 species